CCAAUAGCGUAUAUUAAAGUUGUUGCAGUUAAAAAGCUCGUAGUUGAAUUUCGGGAUCAGUUCGUCGGUCGUGCCUUUGGUAUGUACUGGUGUUACUGGUUCCUCCCUUCUGACGAACCGUCAUGUCAUUAAUUUGGUGUGGCGGGAAAUCAGGACUGUUACUUUGAAAAAAUUAGAGUGUUUAAAGCAGGCUCGCGCUUGAAUACAUUAGCAUGGAAUAAUGAAAUAGGACGUUCGAUCCUAUUUUGUUGGUUUCUAGGAUUGACGUAAUGAUUAAUAGGGAUAGUUGGGGGCAUUAGUAUUAAAUUGUCAGAGGUGAAAUUCUUGGAUUUAUUGAAGACUAACUACUGCGAAAGCAUUUGCCAAGGAUGUUUUCAUUAAUCAAGAACGAAAGUUAGGGGAUCGAAGACGAUCAGAUACCGUCGUAGUCUUAACCAUAAACUAUGCCGACUAGGGAUCGGAUGAUGUUAAUUUUUUAAUGACUCAUUCGGCGCCUUACG
rnacentral:rRNA from 1 species